UUUCUUCCAUUGUUACAAGUGUGGUAAAGCUGCAGCUUACAUGAAUUUUGCAACUUUUUUCUUUUUAAAUUUUUAUCAUUUGAAUCCAUAUCAUAAGAUGUGACGAAAUUUUUAUGCUUGUUAAAUCAAUAUUUGUAACUCAUUCUCAAUUUCAUUGGUGAUUUAGAAAUGUAAGUGAUGAAUCCUUAUAGUGGUUACCACAUUCCAGUUUAUACUUGGAAUUCUUUACCAAAAUGUCCCUGACCUGGGAUUUUGAUUGAAUUGUAUUUUUGUUACUUUCACUGCUAGCAAAGAGUGUGCAAUGAUUGGCAAGUGACAACUUUGAUUGAUUAAGAUUCGAGUGGAAAAGCAAUAUCAUAUGGUCACUCAUUCACAAUUGAAAUGUUGCUUUUAGAAAGAAAGUACCUCAAUCCUUAACGUGUCCACAUUUGAAUCCAAAAUGUGAUGUAAGCUAACUAUUCUUGCCUUGUGCUCUUUUGGUGUUUUCCUUUUGAAUCUUUUGCAAGUU
rnacentral:misc_RNA from 1 species